rnacentral:rRNA from 1 species
CUCAGGAUGAACGCUAGCUACAGGCUUAACACAUGCAAGUCGAGGGGCAGCAUGGUCUUAGCUUGCUAAGGCCGAUGGCGACCGGCGCACGGGUGAGUAACACGUACCCAACCUGCCGUCUACUCUUGGACAGCCUUCUGAAAGGAAGAUUAAUACAAGAUGGCAUCAUGAGUCCGCAUGUUCACAUGAUUAAAGGUAUUCCGGUAGACGAUGGGGAUGCGUUCCAUUAGAUAGUAGGCGGGGUAACGGCCCACCUAGUCUUCGAUGGAUAGGGGUUCUGAGAGGAAGGUCCCCCACAUUGGAACUGAGACACGGUCCAAACUCCUACGGGAGGCAGCAGUGAGGAAUAUUGGUCAAUGGGCGAGAGCCUGAACCAGCCAAGUAGCGUGAAGGAUGACUGCCCUAUGGGUUGUAAACUUCUUUUAUAAAGGAAUAAAGUCGGGUAUGGAUACCCGUUUGCAUGUACUUUAUGAAUAAGGAUCGGCUAACUCCGUGCCAGCAGCCGCGGUAAUACGGAGGAUCCGAGCGUUAUCCGGAUUUAUUGGGUUUAAAGGGAGCGUAGAUGGAUGUUUAAGUCAGUUGUGAAAGUUUGCGGCUCAGCCGUAAAAUUGCAGUUGAUACUGGAUAUCUUGAGUGCAGUGAGGGCAGGCGGAAUUCGUGGUGUAGCGGUGAAAUGCUUAGAUAUCACGAAGAACUCCGAUUGCGAAGGCAGCCUGCUAAGCUGCAACUGACAUUGAGGCUCGAAAGUGUGGGUAUCAAACAGGAUUAGAUACCCUGGUAGUCCACACGGUAAACGAUGAAUACUCGCUGUUUGCGAUAUACUGCAAGCGGCCAAGCGAAAGCGUUAAGUAUUCCACCUGGGGAGUACGCCGGCAACGGUGAAACUCAAAGGAAUUGACGGGGGCCCGCACAAGCGGAGGAACAUGUGGUUUAAUUCGAUGAUACGCGAGGAACCUUACCCGGGCUUAAAUUGCAGAUGAAUUACGGUGAAAGCCGUAAGCCGCAAGGCAUCUGUGAAGGUGCUGCAUGGUUGUCGUCAGCUCGUGCCGUGAGGUGUCGGCUUAAGUGCCAUAACGAGCGCAACCCUUGUUGUCAGUUACUAACAGGUUCCGCUGAGGACUCUGACAAGACUGCCAUCGUAAGAUGUGAGGAAGGUGGGGAUGACGUCAAAUCAGCACGGCCCUUACGUCCGGGGCUACACACGUGUUACAAUGGGGGGUACAGAGGGCCGCUACCACGCGAGUGGAUGCCAAUCCCCAAAACCUCUCUCAGUUCGGACUGGAGUCUGCAACCCGACUCCACGAAGCUGGAUUCGCUAGUAAUCGCGCAUCAGCCACGGCGCGGUGAAUACGUUCCCGGGCCUUGUACACACCGCCCGUCAAGCCAUGGGAGCCGGGGGUACCUGAAGUGCGUAACCGCGAGGAGCGCCCUAGGGUAAAACUGG